CUAAGAAUCUUCCGCAAUGGACGCAAGUCUGACGGAGCGACGCCGCGUGGAUGAAGAAGGCUUAACGGUUGUAAAAUCCUUUUCUGCGUGAGGAAUAAGGUAAGGAGGGAAUGCCUUACUGAUGACGGUAGCGCAGGAAUAAGCCCCGGCCAAUUACGUGCCAGCAGCCGCGGUAACACGUAUGGGGCGAGCGUUGUUCGGAAUUAUUGGGCGUAAAGGGCGCGCAGGCGGUCAUGCAAGCUUGGUGUGAAAGACCACGGCUCAACGGUGGAAACGCGCUGAGAACUGUAUGACUUGAGUUUCGGAGGGGGAGCUGGAAUUCCAGGUGUAGGGGUGAAAUCUGUAGAUAUCUGGAAGAACAUCAGUGGCGAAGGCGAGCUCCUGGCCGUGAACUGACGCUGAGGCGCGAAAGCGUGGGGAGCGAACA
rnacentral:rRNA from 1 species